rnacentral:rRNA from 1 species
AACAAACGCUGGCGGCGUGCCUAAUACAUGCAAGUCGAACGGGGAAAGCUUUCGGGUGAGUACUAGUGGCGCACGGGUGAGGAACGCGUGGAUAAUCUGCCUUAGAGUGGGGGAUAACUAGUCGAAAGAUUAGCUAAUACCGCAUAAGACCACGAGAGCUGCGGCUUUUGAGGUCAAAGGUUUUUCGCUCUAAGAUGAGUCCGCGUAAGAUUAGCUAGUUGGUGAGGUAACGGCUCACCAAGGCGACGAUCUUUAACUGGUCUGAGAGGAUGAUCAGUCACACUGCAACUGAGACACGGUCCAGCCUCCUACGGGAGGAAGCCGUAGGGAAUAUUGCACAAUGGAGGAAACUCUGAUGCAGCGACGCCGCGUGAGUGAUGAAGGCCUUCGGGUCGUAAAGCUCUGUCGCAGGGGAAUAACACAAUGACGGUACCCUGUAAGAAAGGAUCGGCUAACUUCGUG